UGAGUGGAGCUUGCUCCAUGAUUCAGCGGCGGACGGGUGAGUAAUGCCUAGGAAUCUGCCUGGUAGUGGGGGAUAACGUUUCGAAAGGAACGCUAAUACCGCAUACGUCCUACGGGAGAAAGUGGGGGAUCUUCGGACCUCACGCUAUCAGAUGAGCCUAGGUCGGAUUAGCUAGUUGGUGGGGUAAUGGCCCACCAAGGCGACGAUCCGUAACUGGUCUGAGAGGAUGAUCAGUCACACUGGAACUGAGACACGGUCCAGACUCCUACGGGAGGCAGCAGUGGGGAAUAUUGGACAAUGGGCGAAAGCCUGAUCCAGCCAUGCCGCGUGUGUGAAGAAGGUCUUCGGAUUGUAAAGCACUUUAAGUUGGGAGGAAGGGCAGUAAGUUAAUACCUUGCUGUUUUGACGUUACCAACAGAAUAAGCACCGGCUAACUUCGUGCCAGCAGCCGCGGUAAUACGAAGGGUGCAAGCGUUAAUCGGAAUUACUGGGCGUAAAGCGCGCGUAGGUGGUUCAGCAAGUUGGAUGUGAAAGCCCCGGGCUCAACCUGGGAAUUGCAUCCAAAACUACUGAGCUAGAGUACGGUAGAGGGUGGUGGAAUUUCCUGUGUAGCGGUGAAAUGCGUAGAUAUAGGAAGGAACACCAGUGGCGAAGGCGACCACCUGGACUGAUACUGACACUGAGGUGCGAAAGCGUGGGGGAGCAAACAGGAUUAGAUACCCUGGUAGUCCACGCCGUAAACGAUGUCGACUAGCCGUUGGGAUCCUUGAGAUCUUAGUG
rnacentral:rRNA from 1 species